CUAAAACAUUGGAGUAAAAAAAAUUCAUUACCACUUAUUCUGAUGUAAAAUUAAAUUCCCUACAAAAAAGGUCUGAUUAAAAAUUUUUGUCAGACAAGCCGUUUCCGAUUAAUUAAGGGGUCUACCCUCUUUAGAAUUUUGAAAAAAUCGAAUUUUUUUUUUUUGUAUUUUUUGAAAGUAUACAUAUUUAAAAGUAUCAUACUGAAAAUUUAUAAAGAUCCGAGCAGUCUAACUGUACUUUUGGACGACGUUUUCGGAGCGGUACGGCCUACCUGCCUUUGUAUUCAUUAGCAGCUGCAACCUUUUUCAGGUAUACUGACAAAUGUAUAAUAUUAUAAUAUACUUUCGGAUGAAAAUGUGCACUAUGAAGAAGAUGAAGGCAUAAUGUAUGGUGCAGGCAUCGCUGAUUAGACAUCAUCCAUUCCAGAUAUUUCAUCAACAGCGCACACUCAUCUUUUUUUUUGGACCAGUCUUCUCCCUCAUUUUUAUGUAUAAAAACUGAUUAAAAUAAAUAUAAAAAAAAUU